AACCAUAUCAUUUUUAAUAAGUUUAUAAUGUCAAAUUAAUGCAAUGUAAAGGAAACUAACCAAGCCAUUUAAUUUGUUUUUCUUAAAUAAAACACAUAAUGUUUCAUGAGACAUCAGGCUUUUAUUUGACAAAUCAAUAUACAAUUAUUGUAUGAACUAGUUUCUAUGGAGCAUAAAAGACUUCUCUCAUGGACUGAUAAAUCAGCAAGCUAAAAAGAGAAGGGACUGAAUAAAUAAUUUUUAAGGGAAAAAAGCAUCAAGCAAGGGAGAAAUUAAAGACACAUGAAACAGGGUUAAUAAAAGGGAUUUUAAAAAAUCAACAUAGUAACUAUAGGUCUAUUCAACAGACCAAAAAAAAAAAAAAAUCAUAAAGCAAAACAAAAACUAAAUACCAAAGAACAAUUAAGCAACUUGCCAAAAAACAAAAUACUUUGGUGGGAUGUCAAUCAGUAACACUGAGCUGACAACUGUGCCUUAAUUAAUUUUGAAACUGUUUCCAAUUAGUUAGUAUAGAACACUAGAGGCUUCAUGCUGCCUAUGACUCAGUGCACUGACUCAUCCACCAAAACUUUUCUUACA
rnacentral:lncRNA from 1 species